rnacentral:sRNA from 1 species
ACUGAGCGAGCCGCCAGACUAUGACCCCAGGGGCUCUGCUGAUGCUGCUGGGGGCGCUGGGGGCGCCGCUCGCCCCAGGCGUCCGCGGCUCGGAGGCGGAGGGUCGACUCCGGGAGAAACUUUUCUCUGGCUAUGAUAGCUCCGUGCGGCCAGCGCGGGAGGUGGGAGACCGUGUCAGGGUCAGCGUUGGUCUCAUCCUGGCGCAACUCAUCAGCCUGGUGAGGGCGCGCGGGGGGUGGAGGUCAGGCCAGCCGACCGGCCGGGGGCGUGGCUUUAGGCAAGGCCGGACCGGGGACAGGCUGGGGGCGGGGCCUGGGACGAGACCAGGCUGAGAUGGACCAGCCUUUGGUGAAGAUUGGAUCGAAAUCAGACCAGUGGACAAGCUCUGGCCGUGGGUGGUGGACGGGCCUGGAGUAGAACCGGGUAGGGUGAAGGACGGACCUGUGAUCGGACCUUAAAGUGGAGCUGGGGACGAGGCAGGGGCUGGGGGACGGACCUCGAGGUAGGGCCACAUGAGUCCUGAGUGCCCAGGGUGGGGCGGAGCUUGGUGCUCAGGGGUCAAUAAAUGGCAGCGGGUGGAGGU